AUACGUAGGGGGCGAGCGUUGUCCGGAAUGAUUGGGCGUAAAGAGCUCGUAGGUGGUUUGUCGCGUCGUCUGUGAAAUUCCGGGGCUUAACUCCGGGCGUGCAGGCGAUACGGGCAUAACUUGAGUACUGUAGGGGAGACUGGAAUUCCUGGUGUAGCGGUGAAAUGCGCAGAUAUCAGGAGGAACACCGGUGGCGAAGGCGGGUCUCUGGGCAGUAACUGACGCUGAGGAGCGAAAGCAUGGGUAGCGAACAGGAUUAGAUACCCUGGUAGUCCAUGCCGUAAACGGUGGGCGCUAGGUGUAGGGGUCUUCCACGACUUCUGUGCCGUAGCUAACGCAUUAAGCGCCCCGCCUGGGGAGUACGGCCGCAAGGCUAAAACUUAAAGGAAUUGACGGGG
rnacentral:rRNA from 1 species